rnacentral:tRNA from 1 species
GUUUCCGUAGCUCAGUUGGUAGAGCAAUUGACUCUUAAUCAAUGGGUCGUGGGUUCGAGCCCCACCGGGAAUA